rnacentral:rRNA from 1 species
UGGGGAAUUUUCCGCAAUGGGCGAAAGCCUGACGGAGCAACGCCGCGUGGGGGAGGAAGGCUUUUGGGUUGUAAACCCCUUUUCUCAGGGAAGAAGCCCUGACGGUACCUGAGGAAUCAGCAUCGGCUAACUCCGUGCCAGCAGCCGCGGUAAUACGGAGGAUGCAAGCGUUAUCCGGAAUUAUUGGGCGUAAAGCGUCCGCAGGUGGAGCGUCAAGUCUGCUGUCAAAGACCGGAGCUUAACUCCGGGCAGGCAGUGGAAACUGGCGAACUAGAGUACGGUAGGGGUAGAGGGAAUUCCCAGUGUAGCGGUGAAAUGCGUAGAGAUUGGGAAGAACACCAGUGGCGAAGGCGCUCUACUGGGCCGUAACUGACACUCAGGGACGAAAGCUAGGGGAGCGAAAGGGAUUAGAUACCCCCGUAGUCC